GACAAACGAUUAACAAGUAAUUCCUAAGUCUAGCAACAGACAAUUGUUACUCCUUCAUGGUAAUCCCAAACCUAACGUUACCCUACAUAAUGACUUCUAAUGAGAAAAAUAAAUGAUUUUCCUACAUAAUAGUCUUAACUGUAAUAAUAAAAGGCAAAAAAUGUGUUACCAAGUCGACCAUAUCUACGGGUCUGUAAACUAGGAGAGAUGCGAAUUCAAUACUUUAGGGUCUCCACUAAUCACCUCGAAGCUUCCGUCAACUGCAACAAAAUGAAACGACAUCGACACACAAAUAUCUAAGGGUACAAUCGUCCAUAUUCCACCAUACUGCUCGAAACAAAAAAAAAUGGACACCACUAAGGGGUCGGCAUGCCUUCUGGAACAUUUUUUCUUAAGACAACGACGUCGAAAAAACAUAACACCCAUCCUCAUAUGCCUCUACUGUCUUUGUAUGUGGGCUUCACGAGUCAUGGCAUGCACUGCCAUCAGCUAUCACGUGCGUCACAUCUAGUACACCUCAGUCUGCAAAUCACGGCUGUGGAGUUGGUUUCGUUGGAAUGCCUCAAAAUAGAUCCAGCUAGUUUGAAGAAAAUCCUAGAUUUUCAUCCCUGUUUUCUGUCUUUUUCUAGCUUCAUUUUGGACCCGUUCCAGCUAUUUUUUGCACCAAAAAAAUCACAAAUUUCUCAACAACACAAGCUCCGAUUCCAAAAAUCUUUGAAAAAUCUUGAUUUGGGCUUAGUAAAACUUACCAAACUAACAUCAAUUGAGGAGGCUUCUACCCACAACAAAAUCACUUAGUUGCCACAAGUUAUUUCAUCCCCACAAAAGAAUAACAAUGGUGAUUGGUUUGCACCCACAAAGGGAGACUAAAAAUAGAAGUGGCAAUUGGAACUUGAAGAGGAACCAAAACGCACAGCACGUUUUUCUCUCGAUGCAAAGCUC
rnacentral:lncRNA from 1 species